GUGACAGUGCCUCGUAAAUAAUCAGUACUACGUGGCUAUUAGAAGUGUUCAAAAUCCAGACAAGAGAUUGCGUGAAAAAAACGUUGUUCAAAGGAUACAGGGUAGAGAGGGUGAAUUCGCUGUGCAAUUUGUUUCACCUUUGAAUACAGAAAUGCUGCUGGAUUUAGUACGCUGCUCAGCUAGCACCUCUGUCCUACCUAUGGUCUGACUCAAGAAUGGGAAAAUCCUUAACAAGAAAGAAACGGAUGAAGACAACAGAAGGCGCCAUGGGGCGCUGUGUUGUAUUUUAAAUAGUUAAAUAUGUUAUCAAUUUCUAUUCUGACUUGUAAUGUUAAAAAAGGUAGAACAUGAACUACACAGAUUUGAGUCACUGCAAUUCAAAUUGUUUUCCCAGUGUCUCCUUCAAUUCAAUUGUUUUCACUAUGUAUUGCAUGUUUGAGGAGAUUAUAUACUGUUAAACAUGUUUAACUUAAUAUUAAUAUAAUUAAAGUUAUAAAUAUUGGUAGGCUCAACUCAUUAAUAAAUGGUCAAUAGGUUUUGACUUUCUUUAAAGGUUAUAGAUCUGUCAUUGAAAGCAAGUCUAAGAAGUGGUAGAUAUGUUCUAUGUGUGCAUUUCUUUUAAUUGAACCUUUAUUUAACUAGGCAAGUCAGUUAACAACACAUUCUUAUUUUCAAUGACUGCCUAGGAAGUGGGUUAACUGUCUUGUUCAAUGGCAGAACAACAGAUGUUUACCUUGUCAGCUCAGGGAUUCGACCUGCAACCUUCAGUUGCAGGCCCAACGCUCUAACCACCUGGCUACCUGCCACCCAUACUUCUAUGCUUCCCAUUAAGUUUAGUUUUGUCCACCAGCUUCAAACAGUUUAAAAUACAAUAUUUUUGGUUAUGGGAAGCAUAUUUCACAGUGGUUUAGAUGGUACAAUGAUUCUCUAAACAAUGACUGCUUGUUUUGCCACAUUAACUAAAAUUAGGCAAACUAUUAGAAUUUUUGCAACCAGGAAAUGGCAGUGAUUUCUGUCUAUUGCACCUUUGAAGGUAUAAUUUUAGCAGUUAUAAAUGUUGAUAACUCAGUUGUGUUUAUAGGUCUGUCACUUUAAAAUAAGAUAUACUUUUAGCAGUUAUACAUGUGGGGAAAUAAUUUCGACAUGAUUUGAGAGUUCUCUCAGAGCUUAGACAUUUGGUACUCAUCACCACAUGAGUGAAGAUUCAACACUUUGUUAAACAUGUUUAGUCAAUGAAUGGUAGUUAUGAAGAUCAAAACAUUCAACGUUGUGAGAUGAUUUCUCCACUGUUUCACCAACCAAAGGUAUUAGGGUUACCAUUUCACACCAGUGUUCACCAUACUUAGGCUAUCACAGAGAAGUGGUAAGUAUGUGUUGAUAUAAUCUGGUAAGCGGUAAUGAUGAUGAUUGAAUAAUGUCCUGAAUGUAAAUUUGGCUUGGGGCAUCAGGGCAAAGGUUGGUCAAGACACAUGAAAACCAACCUCUUCAGUUCCUGGGACAGAAACAUUUUGAGAGAAAAAGGUGAUAAAAUAACUAUUGUUCCACUGUACAACUAGAAAAUGAGGAUGCAUAAGGGUUCAUAUGAUAAACAUUUGUAAGUGCAUUUAUAAAUGGUUAAUAAGUGGAGGUAAAUAUUGGCUGACUAUUUGGCAAACAUUGACAAGUGACGGCACUCUUGACCAAUGCAAUAUAACCAUUAAUGUAAUUAUAACCCUUUUACAAAUGGAACCUUAUUGUAAAAGUGUUACCCAGAUGGGUAAACUACCAGGAACCAUACACAUUUUGCAGAUGCUCUUAUUGAGAUCGACGUAGUGCAUUCAUCUUAAAGUUGCCAAGAGAGACAACUGCAAAGAUCACAGUCAUUCUGACAUACACGUGAUCCACCAUCAGCUUCAAAUACCAAACGGGCCUCAGAAGACAUUCAAUGGACAACAGUAAAACUGGAGAGCAGUGCAGUUAUGUUGCAGUAUGUUGUGUGUGUGUAUGGACUCAUCAGAUACACAAAAAACUGGAGAAUGCAUUGAAAAUAUAAAGCUGUACAGUAUAUUCACAUGCUCAAUGGUUGUGUUCUGCAUGAAAUAGCUGUUCCAGUUCUCAUUUGUGUUAGGCAGUUACCAGGGACUUAGAAUAUCACAGUAGAUAGAUGCAUCAUAAGGACUAAACAAGGCAUGGGUUUGGUGUAUUAUGUGUGGCUUUGUGUUAGGUAUUGGACAUUGAAAACUACAUCAACUGUGAAGCCUGGAUAACAUUUUCAGGAUAAAAAAAGCUGAAAUUCAA